rnacentral:lncRNA from 1 species
UGGGCAGGGUCUGGGGGCCGAGGGAGGUGGGAGGGAAAUCGGGUUGAGUUCCAGAUUCCCAGCUGGCACUUGUGGGCAGACAGUGGUGCUGCUUACUGAGUUGGGGGGUUGGGGAGACUUGGGGAGGAGCAGGGUGGAGAAAGGUGGGGCCUGCCUGGAUUUAGGUGCCAGACAAAGGGAAGAGAAGCAUGAGAGUGCUGGCUCAGAGGACAAGAAGUAUCCAGAAGAAAGAUGCACAGGAAGGUCACGUGAGAGAAAGGCCAUAUAACACUUAUCCGAAGUGGCCACUAGAAGCUCAGCUGGUCAGGGGGGUGCUGAAGGCAGAGGGCAGUGGUCAGGAGUGAAGUGAGGGUGCGAACUGAGUGUGGGGAGUGUGUAGGGACCCCCAUCUGUCAGGCGGCAGCUCAGGGCUUAGGGCAGGCUACUGGGCAAGGCCAGGGACCCCCAGAACAGAGGAGUUCCUGCCAUGGAUGGUGUUUUACAGCCUUGUCACUCCCCAUGCACUCUAAUCGCGCAUAUUGAGCACUUGGUGUGGGCUGGUCACCGUGCUGGACACUGGGGACAAAGUGUGGUAAGAUGCAGUCCCAAAGGGGCUAACAGUCCUGUGGGCUCUUGCUCAAAGGCUUGUAACCCAGGGUUAAGCUCCCAGCAGCUUGGAAGGCAGGUGUAGGCACCUCCAUUUGCCCUGAGUACAAACAGAGGUUCAGAGAGGUUUAGUGACAGGACGAAGCUCAUACGGCCAGGAAGUGGCUGUGUCCAGGACAGUUCCAGGCCCCCGACCCCAAGCCCCACCCUGGCCAGCAGGUUCAGUUUCAGCCAGGUGGCCUUUAGGGUUGGCCACCCUGUUCCUCUCAGCAAGAACAGUACAAGCUGAAGGCAAGCAAGCGCUCCUUCUUCUGAGCAUCCUGCGUGCCCAACCCUGUGGUGGGAGAGUUGAUGUCCCAGGAGAGGGACGUCUCCUGUUCUCUUGCUGCCCAGGAGAGGGCAGAAGCAAACCCUUCUGAGAGGGGAGACAGGGAGACAGGGAGAGGUAAGCAGGGAUGACUCCUCCUCUCCCCAAAGAGGCCACUCAGGGAGCCCUGGGAAGCCAGGCCAAAGGCGGUGCAAUAAAGGGGCCUCUGAGACUCUUCCCCAUGGCUGUGGUCCUGGCUCUGGGAUCUCAGGGUGCAGUCACCAUCCCCACCCAGCAGUGGGAAGGCCCAGGUGGGUGGAGCUGGCCUGGAGCCCGCCCCUGCUGCUGGGGCAUUGGCCGCUGGGAGGGAAGUUCCAGCCGGUCUGCUGCACCUUCUUAUACAAGCAACCCUGGAGGCUCCGCACCUGAGCAGGCAGCCCCGACUGGAAGGAGCGGGGGCCCUCAUUUCUCCUCCUCCACUGGGAACUGUGAGUGAGCCCUUGCCCCUGAGGGACUAGAGGGCGGCCACAGCAGUUUCUCCACUCUCUCCCCUCCCUUUCCCAAAUCCUAAAACCCACCUGGGGGCCCCUCCUCUCCGGAUCCAGGCCCAGCACCCACUUCCUAGGACAAACUCCGAGGGCAGCCCGAGGCCGCUGUGAUUGAGAGAAAGAAAUCACCUCUUUAGUCCCUGGCUCCCUUCAGCCCCCAGGGGCCUGAGAUGGGACCCACCUGCCCCCUCACUUCCUUCCCAGGCCUCAGUAGUUGACCUCACUCUAGACCUAUUUUUUAAUGUUUAUUUUAUUUUAAUAGUUGUGGGGAGCAGGUGGUGUUUGUUCUUUAGUGGCAAUUUCUGAGAUUUUGGUGCAGCCAUCACCCGAGUGGUGUGCACUGUACCCAAUGUGUAGUCUCUUGUCCCUCACCCCCCUCCCACCCUUCCCCCACUCCCAAGUCCCCAAAGUCCAUUAUAUCAUUCUUAGGCCUUUGCCUCCUCAUAGCUUA